rnacentral:lncRNA from 1 species
UUCUAUUUAGAUGAUCAGUCAACACAAGGGAAUGGCUUGAGAUACUUCCAACAUGUUCAAAUGGGGUCUAUUCGUCAGUCAAAACGUUAAUCUUGAAGGAGCAAAAGUUUGUUCAUGAGCUGUCAUGCUCGCUAGGCAAGCAGAAUGGGUCGCCUAGCGAGUCCCAAGAAAAGCCACCAGAAUCACCUACGCUCAGAGGAAUUUCUUGAACUGUCAUGCUCGCUAGGCGAAGCCCACG